rnacentral:rRNA from 1 species
UACGUAGGGUGCGAGCGUUUGCCGGAAUUACUGGGCGUAAAGAGCUCGUAGGUGGUUUGUCGCGUUGUUCGUGAAAACUCACAGCUUAACUGUGGGCGUGCGGGCGAUACGGGCAGACUGGAGUACUGCAGGGGAGACUGGAAUUCCUGGUGGUAGCGGUGGAAUGCGCAGAUAUCAGGAGGAACACCGGUGGCGAAGGCGGGUCUCUGGGCAGUAACUGACGCUGAGGAGCGAAAGCGUGGGGAGCGAACAGG